AUUGAACGCUGGCGGCAGGCCUAACACAUGCAAGUCGAGCGGAUGAGUGGAGCUUGCUCCAUGAUUCAGCGGCGGACGGGUGAGUAAUGCCUAGGAAUCUGCCUGGUAGUGGGGGACAACGUUUCGAAAGGAACGCUAAUACCGCAUACGUCCUACGGGAGAAAGUGGGGGAUCUUCGGACCUCACGCUAUCAGAUGAGCCUAGGUCGGAUUAGCUAGUUGGUGAGGUAAAGGGUCACCAAGGCGACGAUCCGUAACUGGUCUGAGACGAUGAUCAGUCACACUGGAACUGAGACACGGUCCAGACUCCUACGGGAGGCAGCAGUGGGGAAUAUUGGACAAUGGGCGAAAGCCUGAUCCAGCCAUGCCGCGUGUGUGAAGAAGGUCUUCGGAUUGUAAAGCACUUUAAGUUGGGAGGAAGGGCAGUAAGUUAAUACCUUGCUGUUUUGACGUUACCAACAGAAUAAGCACCGGCUAACUUCGUG
rnacentral:rRNA from 1 species